GGGAGGCAGCAGUGGGGAAUAUUGGACAAUGGGCGCAAGCCUGAUCCAGCCAUGCCGCGUGAGUGACGAAGGCCUUAGGGUUGUAAAGCUCUUUUGGCGGGGACGAUAAUGACGGUACCCGCAGAAUAAGCCCCGGCUAACUUCGUGCCAGCAGCCGCGGUAAUACGAAGGGGGCUAGCGUUGUUCGGAAUCACUGGGCGUAAAGCGCACGUAGGCGGACUUUCAAGUCAGGGGUGAAAUCCCGGGGCUCAACCUCGGAACUGCCUUUGAUACUGUUGGUCUUGAAUCCGGUAGAGGUGGGUGGAAUUCCUAGUGUAGAGGUGAAAUUCGUAGAUAUUAGGAAGAACACCGGUGGCGAAGGCGGCCCACUGGACCGGUAUUGACGCUGAGGUGCGAAAGCGUGGGGAGCAAACAGGAUUAGAUACCCCUGUAGUCCC
rnacentral:rRNA from 1 species